GGCCGUGGCUCAGUGAUAGAGCACUUGCCUUGCAUGCACAUAGCUCUGGGUCCAAUCUCCAGCAUGGCCA
rnacentral:tRNA from 1 species